GAGUAUUCUCUUCUUCCUUGACUUCAACAGCGGCGGGUGCAUCCGUUACUAUCUUGGGUUCUUCUGAAAUUGCAGCAGCAGGUGUCUCUUCCUCUUUUUCUUCUUUCUUCUCUUCCUUGUUUUCUUCUUCUUCUUUCUUUGGCUCAGGCUCAGCUACAGGUUUUUCUUCUGCUUCGGGUUUGGCAGUGAACUCGUGGUUGUUAAGGGCUUCUUGAAUAAGCUGCUUAAGCUCAUCAAGGGCCUUCUUUUGAGGCUCAGGAAGUUCACCAGCGAUAUUAGUUUCCUCUUUGAAGGAAACAGACUGGGUUAUCUUAGUUUCUUCCUUUUCUUCAACCUUGGGCUUCUCAACUUCAACAGCUUCUUCUUCAACAGCAACAACAGCCGGCUUCUCGGGAACCUCAGGCUCCGGCAGGGGAGCAGGUGCGGAGGGUUGUGGCUCUUUCUCAGUAACUUGAGGCUUCUCGACAACCACAGACAAUUCCUGGGCGGGGGCAGCGGGUGGUGAUUCAGAGUUAAGAGUCUCCUGGGCC
rnacentral:lncRNA from 1 species